GGCAACCGGAGUCCUUUUCCACACUGUGGAAGCUUUGUUCUUUUGCUCUUUGCAAUAAAUCUUGCUGCUGCUCACUCUUUGGGUCCACACUGCCUUUAUGAGCUGUAACACUCACCGUGAAGGUCUGCAGCUUUACUCCUGAAGCCAGCGAGACCACGAACCCACCGGCAGGAACGAACAACUCCAGACGCGCCGCCUUAAGAGCUGUAACACUCACCGCGAAGGUCUGCAGCUUCACUCCUGAGCCAGCGAGACCACGAACCCACCGGAAGGAAGAAACUCUGAACACAUCCGAACAUCAGAAGGAACAAACUCCGGACACGCCGCCUUUAAGAACUGUUAACACUCACCGCAAGGGUCCGCGGCUUCGUUCUUGAAGUCAGUGAGACCAAGAACCCACCAAUUCCGGACACAAGGGGAGCUGACUUUCAUUAUAAAGAUUUUCUCAUUGCAAAGUGAAAAAGAGAAUAAUAACUUUAAAACAAGGCAGAAAGUAAAGAGAACUGGAAGCGAGGAACAUGCUCUGAACUAGAACUGGCAACAUGAGAGAUGAGCUCAGGCUUCAAAAUGGUGUCUGCACUGGGUCUUGAAGGAAGAGCAGAGUUUGGGCAUUUAGAAACCAAGAAUUCCAGCCGGUUUCUUCAGACUGAUAACAAGAAUCAGCAAAAGUCUGAGAGCAGGAGUGCAGCUCAUUGGUACAGCAGCCAUAGUAAACAAGGAGGAAGGGAAUCCCUUCAUGAGGACAGGAGGGAAAGAAGGAGGAUUUACUUUAAACCUGUGCAAUAGGACGGCUAGAGGGAACUGGAGCUGGAUAUUUCCCUUCUCUCAGAAAUGAAUGGCAGUAUCAUCAGAACAACCACCCAUAUGUUUUCCCAAAGCAAGACAUUGUGAGGUGUUAAGAGAUAUAUGCAGACAGAGUCUGGCUGUGUCUCCC
rnacentral:lncRNA from 1 species